GCGCUCUUAGCUCAGUUGGUUAGAGCGUUCCCCUCACACGGGAAAGGCCGCAGGUUCGAAUCCUACAGAGCGCA
rnacentral:tRNA from 2 species